rnacentral:rRNA from 1 species
CCUACGGGUGGCAGCAGUGAGGAAUAUUGGUCAAUGGUCGGGAGACUGAACCAGCCAAGCCGCGUGAGGGAGGAAGGUACAGAGUAUCGUAAACCUCUUUUGUCCGGGAACAAAGGCCGGGACGUGUCCACUGAUGAGUGUACCUGAAGAAAAAGCAUCGGCUAACUCCGUGCCAGCAGCCGCGGUAAUACGGAGGAUCCGAGCGUUAUCCGGAUUUAGUGGGUUUAAAGGGUGGGCGGGGUGGUUGUUAAGUCAGCGGUGAAAACCCGGGGCUUAACCCCGGCCCUGCCGUUGAAACUGGCAGUCGAGAGUUGGAGAGAAGUAUGCGGAAUGCGUGGUGUAGCGGUGAAAUGCAUAGAUAUCGAGCAGAACUCCGAUUGCGAAGGCAGCAUGCUAGCUCCAAACUGACGCUGAGGCACGAAAGCGUGGGUAUCGAACAGGAUUAGAUACCCCAGUAGUC